UUAAGCGACUAAGCGUACACGGUGGAUGCCCUGGCAGUCAGAGGCGAUGAAGGACGUGCUAAUCUGCGAAAAGCGUCGGUAAGGUGAUAUGAACCGUUANCCGGCGAUGUCCGAAUGGGGAAACCCAGUGCAAUUCGUUGCACUAUCGUUAACUGAAUACAUAGGUUAACGAGGCGAACCGGGGGAACUGAAACAUCUAAGUACCCCGAGGAAAAGAAAUCAACCGAGAUUCCCCCAGUAGCGGCGAGCGAACGGGGAGCAGCCCAGAGUCUGAAUCAGCUUGUGUGUUAGUGGAACGGUCUGGAAAGUCCGACGGUACAGGGUGAUAGUCCCGUACACCAAAAUGCACAGGCUGUGAACUCGAAGAGUAGGGCGGGACACGUGGUAUCCUGUCUGAAUAUGGGGGGACCAUCCUCCAAGGCUAAAUACUCCUGACUGACCGAUAGUGAACCAGUACCGUGAGGGAAAGGCGAAAAGAACCCCGGCGAGGGGAGUGAAAAAGAACCUGAAACCGUGUACGUACAAGCAGUGGGAGCACCUUCGGGUGUGACUGCGUACCUUUUGUAUAAUGGGUCAGCGACUUAUAUUCUGUAGCAAGGUUAACCGUAUAGGGGAGCCGCAGGGAAACCGAGUCUUAACUGGGCGUUAAGUUGCAGGGUAUAGACCCGAAACCCGGUGAUCUAGCCAUGGGCAGGUUGAAGGUUGGGUAACACUAACUGGAGGACCGAACCGACUAAUGUUGAAAAAUUAGCGGAUGACUUGUGGCUGGGGGUGAAAGGCCAAUCAAACCGGGAGAUAGCUGGUUCUCCCCGAAAGCUAUUUAGGUAGCGCCUCGUGAAUUCAUCUUCGGGGGUAGAGCACUGUUUCGGCUAGGGGGUCAUCCCGACUUACCAACCCGAUGCAAACUACGAAUACCGAAGAAUGUUAUCACGGGAGACACACGGCGGGUGCUAACGUCCGUCGUGAAGAGGGAAACAACCCAGACCGCCAGCUAAGGUCCCAAAGUCAUGGUUAAGUGGGAAACGAUGUGGGAAGGCACAGACAGCCAGGAUGUUGGCUUAGAAGCAGCCAUCAUUUAAAGAAAGCGUAAUAGCUCACUGGUCGAGUCGGCCUGCGCGGAAGAUGUAACGGGGCUAAACCAUGCACCGAAGCUGCGGCAGCGACACUAUGUGUUGUUGGGUAGGGGAGCGUUCUGUAAGCCUGCGAAGGUGACCUGUGAGGGUUGCUGGAGGUAUCAGAAGUGCGAAUGCUGACAUAAGUAACGAUAAAGCGGGUGAAAAGCCCGCUCGCCGGAAGACCAAGGGUUCCUGUCCAACGUUAAUCGGGGCAGGGUGAGUCGACCCCUAAGGCGAGGCCGAAAGGCGUAGUCGAUGGGAAACAGGUUAAUAUUCCUGUACUUGGUGUUACUGCGAAGGGGGGACGGAGAAGGCUAUGUUAGCCGGGCGACGGUUGUCCCGGUUUAAGCAUGUAGGCUGGUUAUCCAGGCAAAUCCGGAUAAUCAAGGCUGAGGUGUGAUGACGAGGCACUACGGUGCUGAAGUAACAAAUGCCCUGCUUCCAGGAAAAGCCUCUAAGCAUCAGGUAACAUCAAAUCGUACCCCAAACCGACACAGGUGGUCAGGUAGAGAAUACCAAGGCGCUUGAGAGAACUCGGGUGAAGGAACUAGGCAAAAUGGUGCCGUAACUUCGGGAGAAGGCACGCUGGUGUGUAGGUGAAGUCCCUGCGGAUGGAGCUGAGACCAGUCGAAGAUACCAGCUGGCUGCAACUGUUUAUUAAAAACACAGCACUGUGCAAACACGAAAGUGGACGUAUACGGUGUGACGCCUGCCCGGUGCCGGAAGGUUAAUUGAUGGGGUUAUCCGUAAGGAGAAGCUCUUGAUCGAAGCCCCGGUAAACGGCGGCCGUAACUAUAACGGUCCUAAGGUAGCGAAAUUCCUUGUCGGGUAAGUUCCGACCUGCACGAAUGGCGUAAUGAUGGCCAGGCUGUCUCCACCCGAGACUCAGUGAAAUUGAACUCGCUGUGAAGAUGCAGUGUACCCGCGGCAAGACGGAAAGACCCCGUGAACCUUUACUAUAGCUUGACACUGAACAUUGAGCCUUGAUGUGUAGGAUAGGUGGGAGGCUUUGAAGCGUGGACGCCAGUCUGCGUGGAGCCAACCUUGAAAUACCACCCUUUAAUGUUUGAUGUUCUAACGUUGGCCCCUGACCGGGGUUGCGGACAGUGUCUGGUGGGUAGUUUGACUGGGGCGGUCUCCUCCCAAAGCGUAACGGAGGAGCACGAAGGUUAGCUAAUCCUGGUCGGACAUCAGGAGGUUAGUGCAAUGGCAUAAGCUAGCUUGACUGCGAGCGUGACGGCGCGAGCAGGUGCGAAAGCAGGUCAUAGUGAUCCGGUGGUUCUGAAUGGAAGGGCCAUCGCUCAACGGAUAAAAGGUACUCCGGGGAUAACAGGCUGAUACCGCCCAAGAGUUCAUAUCGACGGCGGUGUUUGGCACCUCGAUGUCGGCUCAUCACAUCCUGGGGCUGAAGUAGGUCCCAAGGGUAUGGCUGUUCGCCAUUUAAAGUGGUACGCGAGCUGGGUUUAGAACGUCGUGAGACAGUUCGGUCCCUAUCUGCCGUGGGCGCUGGAGAAUUGAGGGGGGCUGCUCCUAGUACGAGAGGACCGGAGUGGACGCAUCACUGGUGUUCGGGUUGUCAUGCCAAUGGCACUGCCCGGUAGCUAAAUGCGGAAGAGAUAAGUGCUGAAAGCAUCUAAGCACGAAACUUGCCCCGAGAUGAGUUCUCCCUGAGACUUUAAGUCUCCUGAAGGAACGUUAAAGACGAUGACGUUGAUAGGCCGGGUGUGUAAGCGCAGCGAUGCGUUGAGCUAACCGGUACUAAUGAACCGUGAGGCUUAACCUU
rnacentral:rRNA from 1 species